rnacentral:tRNA from 1 species
UAUAUUUAAGUAUAAGAUGUACAGGAGUUUUUGAUUCUUCUAGAGUAGUUUAAUUCUAUAAAAUAUAA